AACGAACGCUGGCGGCGUGCCUAACACAUGCAAGUCGAACGGGAAAACCCGCAAGGGUGAGUACAGUGGCGCACGGGUGCGUAACACAUGGGUCAUCUGCCCAGAAGCCCGGAAUAACUCCCCGAAAGGGGUGCUAAUGCCGGAUGAGACCACGAGGACUUCGGUGCCUGGGGGAAAAGGUGGCCUCUGUAUACAAGCUAUCACUUCUGGAUGAGCCCGCGGCCCAACAGCUAGUUGGCGGGGUGAUGGCCCACCAAGGCUACGACGGGUAGCUGGUCUGAGAGGACGAUCAGCCACACUGGAACUGAGACACGGUCCAGACUCCUACGGGAGGCAGCAGUGGGGAAUCUUGCGCAAUGGGCGAAAGCCUGACGCAGCAACGCCGCGUGUGUGAUGAAGGUCUUCGGAUCGUAAAGCACUGUCGGGAGGGACGAAUAAGGGCCGGGUGAACAAUCCGGUUCGACGACGGUACCUCCAGAGGAAGCACCGGCUAACUCUGUGCCAGCCGCCGCCGUAAAAC
rnacentral:rRNA from 1 species